rnacentral:rRNA from 1 species
GAGUUUGAUCGUGGCUCAGGAUGAACGCUAGCGGCAGGCCUAAUACAUGCAAGUCGAACGGUAAAUAGUUCAGCAAUGGACUAUGAGAGUGACGCACGGGUGCGUAACACGGUAUGCAAACCUACCCUUUACAGGAGUAUAGCUCGGGGAAACUCGAAUUAACACUUCAUAGUAUGAUUGAAUGGCAUCAUUUGAUUAUUAAAUCUGCGGAGGUAAAGGAUGGGCAUGCGUCUGAUUAGCUAGUUGGUAGUGUAACGGACUACCAAGGCGAUGAUCAGUAGGGAACUGAGAGGUUGAUCCCCCACACUGGCGCUGAGAUACGGGCCAGACUCCUACGGGAGGCAGCAGUAGGGAAUAUUGGUCAAAGU